rnacentral:rRNA from 1 species
GACGAACGCUGGCGGCGUGCUUAACACAUGCAAGUCGAACGGAAAGGCCCUGCUUUUGUGGGGUGCUCGAGUGGCGAACGGGUGAGUAACACGUGAGUAACCUGCCCUUGACUUUGGGAUAACUUCAGGAAACUGGGGCUAAUACCGGAUAGGAGCUCCUACUGCAUGGUGGGGGUUGGAAAGUUUCGGCGGUUGGGGAUGGACUCGCGGCUUAUCAGCUUGUUGGUGGGGUAGUGGCUUACCAAGGCUUUGACGGGUAGCCGGCCUGAGAGGGUGACCGGCCACAUUGGGACUGAGAUACGGCCCAGACUCCUACGGGAGGCAGCAGUGGGGAAUAUUGCACAAUGGGCGGAAGCCUGAUGCAGCAACGCCGCGUGCGGGAUGACGGCCUUCGGGUUGUAAACCGCUUUCGCCUGUGACGAAGCGUGAGUGACGGUAAUGGGUAAAGAAGCACCGGCUAACUACGUGCCAGCAGCCGCGGUGAUACGUAGGGUGCGAGCGUUGUCCGGAUUUAUUGGGCGUAAAGGGCUCGUAGGUGGUUGAUCGCGUCGGAAGUGUAAUCUUGGGGCUUAACCCUGAGCGUGCUUUCGAUACGGGUUGACUUGAGGAAGGUAGGGGAGAAUGGAAUUCCUGGUGGAGCGGUGGAAUGCGCAGAUAUCAGGAGGAACACCAGUGGCGAAGGCGGUUCUCUGGGCCUUUCCUGACGCUGAGGAGCGAAAGCGUGGGGAGCGAACAGGCUUAGAUACCCUGGUAGUCCACGCUGUAAACGGUGGGUACUAGGUGUGGGAUCCAUUCCACGGGUUCCGUGCCGUAGCUAACGCUUUAAGUACCCCGCCUGGGGAGUACGGCCGCAAGGCUAAAACUCAAAGGAAUUGACGGGGCCCCGCACAAGCGGCGGAGCAUGCGGAUUAAUUCGAUGCAACGCGUAGAACCUUACCUGGGUUUGACAUGGAUCGGGAGUGCUCAGAGAUGGGUGUGCCUCUUUUGGGGUCGGUUCACAGGUGGUGCAUGGCUGUCGUCAGCUCGUGUCGUGAGAUGUUGGGUUAAGUCCCGCAACGAGCGCAACCCUUGUUCACUGUUGCCAGCACGUUAUGGUGGGGACUCAGUGGAGACCGCCGGGGUCAACUCGGAGGAAGGUGGGGAUGACGUCAAGUCAUCAUGCCCCUUAUGUCCAGGGCUUCACGCAUGCUACAAUGGCUGGUACAGAGAGUGGCGAGCCUGUGAGGGUGAGCGAAUCUCGGAAAGCCGGUCUCAGUUCGGAUUGGGGUCUGCAACUCGACCUCAUGAAGUCGGAGUCGCUAGUAAUCGCAGAUCAGCAACGCUGCGGUGAAUACGUUCCCGGG